rnacentral:rRNA from 1 species
CUACGGGUUGCAGCAGUGAGGAAUAUUGCACAAUGGGGGGAACCCUGAUGCAGCAACGCCGCGUGGAGGAUGACGCAUUUCGGUGUGUAAACUCCUUUUAUAUGUCAAGAAAAUGACGGUAGCAUAUGAAUAAGCACCGGCUAACUCCGUGCCAGCAGCCGCGGUAAUACGGAGGGUGCAAGCGUUACUCGGAAUCACUGGGCGUAAAGGACGCGUAGGCGGGUCGGAAAGUCAGGUGUGAAAUCCUACAGCUUAACUGUAGAACUGCACUUGAAACUUCUAAUCUAGAGUAUGGGAGGGGGGGAUGGAAUUAGUGGUGUAGGGGUAAAAUCCGUAGAUAUCACUAGGAAUACCUAAAGCGAAGGCGAUCUCCUGGAACAUUACUGACGCUAAGGCGUGAAAGCGUGGGGAGCAAACAGGAUUAGAUACCCCUGUAGUC